AUAUAGAUUAAGUUAUUAAGGGCGCACGGUGGAUGCCUUGGCACUAGAAGCCGAAGAAGGACGUUACUAACGACGAUAUGCUUUGGGGAGCUGUAAGUACGCUUUGAUCCAGAGAUUUCCGAAUGGGGAAAC
rnacentral:rRNA from 1 species